GGGGUUGUGGCUCAGUGGUAGAGCGCUUGCCUAGCAUGUAUAAGGUGCUGGGUUCAAUCCUCAGCACCA
rnacentral:tRNA from 1 species